rfam:Ictidomys tridecemlineatus contig031921, whole genome shotgun sequence.
GGGGGUGUAGCUCAGUGGAAGAGCAUUUGCCUCACAAGCAUGAGAUCCUGGGUUCCAUUUCCAGCACCACAA